rnacentral:lncRNA from 1 species
AUACAUAUACAUCGAACAUAUCCGAGAGAAAACAAAUGAAAUCGAAUGUACCAACAUUUGUCUAAAGGUCCCCUACAAAAGAUUCAAAUUGAAUCAAAAUAUACGGAUACAAAUUGCUUUUAUUGUUUACAAGGAGAAUUGAGAAAUGAGUUUUUGAGCAUGGAACCAAUUGCAAGAAGACUGAGAGCGUCAAGUUGGACGAUGUGAAAGCAUACUUUUGAUGAUAUUGACUUUGGUCUUAGGUAAUGGACCUGUCCUGUCUAUAUUUGGUCCGGUCCCCCACCAAAAAAUGGUUCCAAUCUCUUUAUUGUGAAAUCAAAUCUUGUGGCUGCCAGACUUGCCUUCAUCUACCUUUCAUUCACUAUAUAACAAAUUCAGCAGCUGGAAAAAAAAAAAAUGUUCAGUUUAUUGAAUUGAAUUGAAAAGGAAUAAAUUUAGUCUAAUUCAUCAUUUGAAAAAACAUUAUGAAAUUUAAACUAAUUGAGACAGCUAAGAAAAAAUACACAAUUGCCAUACUUUCAAAUUUAAGAAAUGUGUCCAAUUCUAUCAAAAUCAGGUGGUAACAAAUGUGUCCAAAUGCUUAUUAAUUAUAUAUUUUAAUGUCACAAUAAUAUACAAUUUAUGAUCAUAAUUACGUAUUAAUCACGAAUCAUACAACAUUAUAAUAAAAAAUGUGAAUCACAACUACAAAUUUAGUCGUAAAUCACAUAUUUUUAUAAGUUACAAUUUAUUUAUCGAUUGUAAAUUACACAUUUCAUUAAUCAUAUUUACCCAAAUAAUCGAUCACAAAAGCUUUAUCUCCAAGACUACUCAACAUCACCACCAUCGCUGUUGCCACCCCACCGCCAUUUGCACCAACAAUCACCACCACCUCAAAUCCAUUAUCACCUCCACCUCAGACCAACCACACCUGUACCAGCACCGCACAACAGAAAUGCAACACCGCCGCCGCCACCAUUGCACCACUAGUGUCACAGCGCCACCCACAUAGAUCUUACACUAUACCAUCACCAACACACAAACAACAUCGCACCACCUGCCCACAGUCCCAUCUCCACCACUAAUCACAACAUCCGCCGCUUCCUUUCUGGCUUCCUUCUCUUUCCCCUUUCGUUGAAAUAUUUUGCAGGUCGAUAAUGACAAAUCCAAGAUCGAUCCGGCAUCGAUUUUGAGAGGAAAAUUGGCGGCUAAUUUUCCUUGACAGUUUUUGGAGUUGGUAGGUGGCGAUCGAACAGAUGCAGAGAGAAAACAAAGAGCGGGAGCGAGAUAGAUGGCAGGGUGUGGGCGCCUGGGUGUGGGUGUGAAGUAGUGGGGUGGCGUGGGGUGCGGUGGGGUGCGCGGGUGGGCC